UUUCCCUUAUGUCUGCAACAACCAGGGUUAGGCCACACCAAAGCCAGGAGCAAGGAACUUCAUUUGGCUCUCUCAUUUGGGUGCCAGGAGCGCAAGUUCUAAGGCUGGCACUUGCUGCCUUCCCAGAUACACAUUCGCAGGAAGGAAGAUUAGAAGUGGAGGAGCCAGGACUGGAUCCCAAGUUGCAGCCCUGGAAAAUGAUAGAUGCCUGAAAUUGAUUAGGGUAAUCGAUGCUGUGUGGUGUAUUUACAAGUGAUGGAUGUUUCAUCUGCCAGAUGUGACAGAAACUCAAGAUGAUGAGCUUGUACCCACAGAGAUCUUUACUGAAAGGUACCAUGCAGUUCAUAGGAUUGAACCAGCUCAGCCCUGGGGCUCUCAGAGGCUGAAGCCAGGACCUCCCAAGCAUUGGCAACUGCCAUCCAUCCAGUACUGCUUGCCAUGUGAACUGGUUGCCUUCUCUGUCACAAACAAGUUUUUGAGGCUCUGCAAGGUAUGUGACUACAGUCAGUCUGACCUUGCAUGAAGAAAAGUAUACUUCCUCCCCACUGAGAAUGGCCUGGCUUGGGUCACAUGUAGCCCUGGAGCUGCAAAUUCAAGUCCCUAGAGCAUGACCAAAUCCAAAUAGUGGGAGCCAAGGGUAACCGAACUGACGUCACUGCGUCCACUGUGGCCAGGAGAGCAGACCACAGAAGUGUGCUGGACAGACAGAGCUGUAGCAGCCGGCCUUCCAUGAGCCCCCUGGCCAUAGCACCUGCCCCCUUCAGUGGUUACUGAAAUCAGCACUUCCUGCUGGGCUUCUAGCCUUUCUUCAGCUCAGCUCACAUUCAGGAGGAAGAAGCAGAUCAUUUCCAUGCAGGGAGCAGAGAGUGAUGACCAAGAUGGGCUCAGCGCAUAACACGGUCCAGCCAGAGGCUUUCAACACACCUGCUGGGUCAAGGAACUUUCUGGAAGCCAAUUUUAGUCUCAGAGAGGACUGGGCAAUGAAG